ACCGCACGACCUCUCCCCUCCUCCCCGCACAACCUCUCCCCUCCUCCCCGCACGACCUCUCUCGCUCCCUCCUCCUCGCACGUCUCUCCCCCCUCCUCCUUCGCCGUUUGCCGCCCCGCCGUUCCUCCCGCAGCCUUGCGCCGCCAUUAGCCACAGGAUCCGCCCUGCGGCGCGCGGAGCCGCCUCCCGCAGCCGCAGCCGUAGCCGAUGUCGUAACCUCCCCCUGCCUCUUCUCCGCCUCACCCAUGUGCCUCCCAACCACCAAGCCACCGCCGCCUCAUCUCCUAGCUGCACGGCCGGGCGACGCAGCGAGGCGCGCUCCCACGCCGCCGCCGGUGGGACACCGCAAGACCGCCGUCGGCCGCGUCCAUACCCUCAUCCAUCUGCAUAGCCCCAGCUUUGUCUCCUCCGCUCCGAGGCCGUACACGCCCUGACGCACUUGAUCUGGACGGCAGUACCACCGGGGCGCAUCACCUUCUUGCGCCUCCCACAUAGGCCUCCGUGGUCGUGCUGCUCUGUACCCAAUGUCUGUCUAUAAGCUUCAUGUGCAUCAGUAGUCUUGAGCCGCCAAUCUUGAUCGAACAGGUCGCAGGAGCUUGCCGGUAACACCUGAUCUUUGAUCUGGUUUGUAUGCACGCGUGUAUGUGAUUAGUUUCAGGCUUUCAGCGGCCACAUGUCGUUGCAGUAAGACGAUGCAUCACGCAUUGAAUGGAACCGUAAGGCGAUGAGGCGAGGAGCGCGUGCACACACUGGCGUCAGCGGCACGGUGUCAAGCUGCGGAGAAGGCAUCCGGCGAGGCAGCCACCAAGUUCUCCAUCUCCUCUUGAAUUCUGCUAAUUAUCUUGGCAUUUUAUUGGCCUGCUACUUGAUGGAAAUCAAACUCCCCAUAUACACUUAUACUGAACACCACACACGACUGCUACUUUGGUGCAGGACGGUGAUUAGUCUUGCCUAAUUCUCUUGACCAAAGCAUUGCCCUUUGCUAUUUCUUAGUUUCUAUAUCUCAGGAUUAAUCGAUGAGUCAAAAGUCGAUGCUUCCGUUUCGAAAUCAUAGUUUUUGUUUUCAAAAUCAUAGAAAAGUUUGGGACGACUAUACUAUAGCAUGCUCUGGACAUCCUACUGAUGCCGAUGAUUUUGCUUUGCAGGUGCCUAAGUGGAUGGCGGUGAACAGGCGUUCAGCAAAGACUCUCUCUUAGUAUGGGACGAGGAGAUUGAAUUUGGACCCUGUUGAUGGCUCGAUACCGAACCCAGAACAUGUGCCUGAUCAUGGUACACACCAUUGGAUGGUUUUUGCCGCCUAUAUGUUUUUUUGUUGGGAGCUCGAAUCUGAAGCCUCUAUCCUGCAAAGAGGAGCAAGUGAUGUGGAUAUUUUACGAGCAAAAGAUUCAAGAAGUGUGCAGAGCAUUCAUAUUCCCCCACAAAAUUCAGUUGAAUAUGGCAUCCUCUCAACGUAAUGGGAUCCGGACACCAUUUCAGGACCUAACGAACACUAGAAAUUCUGGUAAUUAUAUAUCACCAAUUCUUGCCUAUGCCAUCCCCGUUCCAAAAGGAUACCGGCCAUCAGUGAAUAAUUACUUCAUGAAUACUCCCUCCAUUCCUAAAUAUAAGUCUUUUUAGAGAUUUAAAUAAGAGACUACAUACGGAGCAAAAUGAGUGAAUCUACACUCUAAAAUAUGUCCAUAUACAUCCGUAUAUAGUUUGUAUUGAAAUCUUUAGAAAGACUUGUAUUUAGGAACGGAGGGUGUAGAUAAAUUGGUAGGUCUCUUUGAUAGAAUGGGUAAUAUUCAAUCACUUCAGCAUUAUAGUCAUGCUAAGAGUUUACAUAAUGAAGAUAUCAUUUUAAUUUUCUUUAGUUUGGCUUCACCGGAAUAUUUAACAUUUUUAUCUUCAAGUGGCAUGUGUGUUUCAAUAAAGUAUGUGUAAGUUCUUGCUAAGAUAGUGGUGAUCCUGCAGUGUGGUGUCUCUGUUCAUCAAGCUCUGGUAUUUAAGUAAAUAUUGUCAACUGUUGCUUGCUUGUACAUUUUGCAUGUAUUCGUGUGCAAACAGAGCUACCAGUGCUGCAAAUGUCAUUAAACUUGGCCAACUUGAAACCAUUGCAGCUAACAUACACCUGAUUAUCUACUCAUGUAUGUCAUCAUUGCUACAGCCAAUUGGAACAACAAGCAAUGCAUCAGCUAAUUAGAACAUCAAGCAAGCAAUGCAGCUACUGUCAAGGUUGCAUCACAUUCAUGCUAUAGAUUCAGCAAAGUUUAGGUUCUCUAUCCAACACACUGUUGCUUCAAGCUUCAGGUUCAGGCGCCGACGACGAAGGGAACAAAACCUAUAUCUAUAUCACGUUGCGUGUCAACUGCCACAAGUGCCGACAUUGCCAACAUUACGGCUACCUGGGAAGCCGGCAGCCGGCAGUAGCACCGGAAGCAGGGACGGGAGCAACAAUGUAGGCGGUAGCCUACAACAGCGGAUGGGGUUACUGGGAUGGGCACGAGAGGCGGCGGCAUAGCUACCUGGAGCAGCAAGGUUCAGGAUAAGUGGAGGAGCUAGCAGCCAGAAACAUCGGAGGCGGUAGCUGUCGGUAGCAGCGCAGAUGGCAAGAAACAAAACGAGUGUUGAGGGUCCAUGUAGAAAAUAAAACUCAUUGGUAAUUGUAGAUCGGCCGCCGGUUGAAAUAGAGGUUGUUACAAUUAUGUUUUGAUGAAGAAUCAGUAUUAUUACAUAUUUAAAAAAAUACUUCCUCCAUUCUAAAUAUAAUCUUUUUAGAGAUUUCAGUAAGGACUACAUACGAGUGUAUAUAUUAAAGUAUAGAUUCACUCAUUUUACUUUGUAUAUAAUCCAAAUUGAAAUAUCUAAAAAUACUUUUACAUUUAAAAACGAAGAGAGUAUAAUUUUAUAUCUAGAUGAAGACGUGCAUUGCACAUGCACGUUUACUAGUCCAAGGAAAAAACAACCGGAUCACAAACAGAUGCCUAACUGCAAAUGAGCCAUGCGGUCAACGCGGGGUGGCGGCGGUAGCUCGAUGCAGAGAACGGUGGUGUGGCCAAGGCGUGGCUCUGGCGGGGCUGCCUUGAUUCUGGCUGAUGGCAGCUGCAAUGGGUCGACGACGGGAGGCUCCGGCGAGUGGGAGGGACGGCGGCGGCUGACCUCCUCCAUGGCCUGCCGCUGUUCGAGAGAGAGAGAGAUUCGAAGGUGAGGAGGAGAUAGAGAAGAACAGAAGGAAGGGGGAGUAGGAAAGGCAUGGGCACGCCCGGCAGGCUCUCACCUCUCUUACCUCCAUGCCGCUCCCAAGCCUAGACAACGACCCAUGCGACGGGAGCCCGUUGGCGCCGCCACCGGCGCCGGGCUUCACGACGAUCUACUCGACUCCGUGCGUCGAUUCAUCAACUCCGCACCAGCAUUCCACCGGGAUCGGCGUCCGGAUCAGCUCCUAACUCUGCAAGUCAUGGGGUAUGGGGCUGCUCGGUCUCAUCUCCAAGGGGCAUGCAGCCGCCGACGCCCGUACCUGCCGACGGGAACGAUCAAACGGACGAGCAGGAGAGAUCCUGUAGAUCCAAUGGCAGAAGGGCCAGAUGAUGGCCUCCAGUGCCUUUGGCCAGGUCUACCUCGGGAUGAAUCUGGACACUAGUGAGCUCCUCGCAUUAAAGCAGCUUUGAUCAGGAGCACCAAUGCCACACAGGAGAAAGCCCAAGAUUGGGUGCAUAUAAGAGAACUUCGGGAAGAAAAGUGAAGGUCCUCAAGAAUCUUUCACACCACAAUAUUACAGUGAGUAGAGUAAAUAUCGAUUACAAAUCAGAUUCUUUAUUUAAGUUCUAUCAAGUAGUUGCUCGAUCUAUUUUCUAUCGGGAGAGAAGAGGUACCUUGGGACUGUUUGUGAGGAAGACACACUGAAUAUCUUGCUGGAGUUUUUUUCCCACCCACUGCAUGCCACCGUCUGGCUCUCAGCACUCUGACCUCCAUGCGGUCGUCAGGAACUCCUCUGCCACAAGAUUCUCCCGUCCAGGUAGCGUACAGUCCGCCACAAGAUUCUCAUGUACAGGCAGUGUACAGAAGAUCUUGAACGAGGAUAAGCAAAUUAGUUCCUGAAGCUUCUCUAUCGGGAAGCGCAUGCCGUAAGAACAACUAUAGACGGCAUCACCGCCGUCGCUUAUGGAGCUCCACACCACUGCCCAGUUGUUCGAGAGCAUGUUCAAUCUUCUCGAUUCUAUACUAUGUGCAAAUGGUGAACUCUUUGCCAAACAAGAAGAUACGAGGAUCAGGCAUAUACGCCCCAUAAGGUAGCUAUAUAAAAAUUCAUGUGUUGUAGUGUGGAUUAUGGUCACGCUUUGUCUUGGACUGCAGAUAGCUAGGUUAAUAAAAUGGAUAUUCUGCAUAUUUUUUGAAUUUUUAGUAAGGGCUAGAUGAAUAAUGUAUGCACUAUGCAGUACUUCUGACUUGGGGCACUGAUUAAUUCUCCACAUGAAGGAACAUGGACAGAUGGUGGGCUCCAAGGCCAUGUCGAUGUUGUUGCGCUUGCAGCUUGAGAUCUACUUGGUCCAAAUGAAGAAUCGUCAUUUCAAAUGGUUAGUACAAUUUGCUCAAUGCCAUAAACCUGCACUGAUCUUCACUCAUGUCAUCUGACAGAAGUCUAUUGAAUUUCAAUAAAAUUUUGUUGUAUGUUAUCCAUGACGUAAGUGGAGAUAGGAAGGUCCAAAAAAUUUAAAAAUUGCGGCACAAGGGGGAUGGUCACUAAUUUUUCACUUGAUAAAAUGUUUGUGAAGUAUGGCAAAUUAUGACCUUAGCAAACCUUUUAUUUACAUAUAUUCAUAUAUAUUUUGAAUUUCAGAAACGUGCAUUGCACGUAUAUGGUUAGAUCUUAAUUUUCUUCAUUACUCAACAUAUUUGUACCCACUAGGAUUUCAUUUUUUUUUAUUAUUGAGUAUUAUACUAUUGUUAUUUGUUGUCCACCUUGAUCCUUCACUGCUAUUUUUCCUAGGCAACUUUGCAUGGAAUUAGGAUCACUUAAUAAGGUUCUGCUAUCUUUUUCAUAUUCGCUUGCUUUAUGCAUGAACCUAUCACCAAGAUUUGGAUCUCUUAUAUGCUGCAUCGAUGCUGUUGUAGAUUUGUUAGUGUUGAUUUGUAGUAAGAGGAAAUUUAAUGUUGUUCUCAUCAAUUUAUUUCAUAGCAUGUGUCACAAAUAAAUUUAUUACAGAUCUGGGAAUACCUUUUCUUUUUAGAUAAGUUUAGGCUUGAAUUGUCACAAGUAAAUGGGGGGCGUUGGGUAUAGUUUCAGGAAGCCAGAGCAUCAUAUUUAUUUUGAGCCACAUGGGGCGAAUUACAUCCAUGUAUUAAAAAACUAGGCGCCCGCUUAGGUAGAAAGUACAACUCUUGCUGUCCCGGGGCUUCAUAGUAGUGCUAGAAUUUAAUCAAUGAUCCAUGUACAUGUUGAUUGUUAUGAAACCAUGCGAUGGGAUCUUGAUCUUGACAAUGUCGAAAAAUCUGGUUCAUCAGAGACAAAAUCCCACCUUAAUUCCCCCCUUUGGAUCAUGAAAUAUUGGGGGUUAACACGAUGCUAUGUAAGAUGGGUUGAGAUCUACCAUACGGUAACUUUCUUUUAUUCAAAUAUUCUCUUUUGUUUUGUAGCCUUAAUGUUUUCUGUUGUGGGGUGACAAUGUCAAGGUCUAUGCUAACAAGCAAGAUUUUUUUAUAUGCAGUGAGUAUUGAACAGCGGACAAGUUGCUGCAUCCCUCUUGCAACCUUUACAAUUUAUGUUGGCAACUCUAAUAUAGUGGUUCUAAGACUGUUCAGUGAGAGAUGGAUUGGGUAUAUACCAAGAAGAACUACUCACAUGUUCUAAUUAUUGACUAACAAAUGUCCGCUGCUUUGCUACUGGUAUACGAGAGACCAGAAUCAUCUGAUAUAUAUAUUUGUGCACCAAAUUAUGUUAAGCACAAAGUCAAUGCUGGAGAUACUAAAAACGUACCCUGGUUGCAGUUAUUUAAACUGCAAGGCUUACAGUGAUCAUAUAUUUCCUACUACAUUGAUUUUAGCAGGAAAAUUCGAGGAAUCUAGAGGAGAUUCAGGGUCUUGGAUAGCACUGAAUACUACCGAAAAAUAGACAUAUUGCAUUCUUGAUCCUUUUUGCUUUUUUUCAUUUUCAUGCUAUUGAAGUACCGAAAAAUUGACUAGUGCUUUCUAUAUAUGUCAAAUUCACUUGUAAUUUCCUGAAGUUUUGUGAAAUAUUGAAGGAUAUCUUGGAACAACAAAGUUCCAAAUCGUCAUGGUAGAUGAUACGACACUGGCUGCUGAAGUUGCUCA